GAUGAACGCUGGCGGCGUGCCUCAAACAUGCAAGUCGAAGCGGGGCUAUGUAAUAUCGCAAGGUAGAACAUAGCCUAGCGGCGAACGGGUGAGUAACACGUGGGUAACCUGCCUGGAAGACAGGGAUAACGAUUCGAAAGGGUCGCUAAUACCUGAUAAUAUCCUUUCAUCGCAUGGUGAUAGGAAGAAAGGGGAAACCCGCUUUCAGAUGGGCCCGCGUCCCAUCAGCUAGUUGGUAAGGUAAAGGCUUACCAAGGCGACGACGGGUAGCCGGUCUGAGAGGAUGUACGGCCACACUGGGACUGAGAUACGGCCCAGACUCCUACGGGAGGCAGCAGUUGGGAAUCUUAGGCAAUGGACGAAAGUCUGACCUAGCGACGCCGCGUGAGGGAAGAAGGCCUUCGGGUUGUAAACCUCUGUCAUGGGGGAAGAAGUAAGUGACGGUACCCCAAGAGGAAGCCCCUGCUAACUACGUG
rnacentral:rRNA from 1 species